CUUGAAAGUAUUAAACAAUUUUAUAUCAACGUCAAGCAAGAAAAUUCGAAACUUUGCACAUUGUGUAAUUUGUACGACACACGUUCAAUUACCCAAUCGCUGAUUUUCUGCAACACCAGACGCAUGGAGAAUUUUUUGCCCUAUGGGAAUCAAUCCCAUGGCAGCCGGUUGUACGUACCGAAUUAACCCGAUAAAGUCCUUCAUCGGCAUGGGCUGACGCUUUAGUGUACAACACACGGAUACAACAACGAAAAUUUUACAGAACUUAUUUCUUCUCUGCACUGAGAUCAGCCUGCAAUCGCGGACAAUCAGAAGUAUCGAGAGGAGAGUCUCAGUUAGAGGCCGGGUGGCACCAGGAUGAACCAAGGAUGAACAUACCCUUAAACUUGUGAGUUAGAUACCCUAUGUGAAUCAAUCCCAUGGCAGCCGGUUGUACGUACCGAAUUAACCCGAUGAAGUCCUUCAUCGGCAUGGGCUGACGCUUAAGUGUACAACACACUGAUACAACAACGAAAAUUUUACCGAACAUAUUUCUUCUCUGCACUGAGAUCAGCCUGCAAACGCGGACAAUCAGAAGUAUCGAGUGGAGAGUCUCAGUGAAAGGCCGGGUGGCACCAGGAUGAACCAAGGAUGGACGUACCCUUGUAGGUAUUAAACAAUUUUAUGUCAACGUCAAGCAAGAAAAUUGGAAAUUUGUCACAAUGUGUGAUUUCUUUCUUUCAAUUUCAACUUUCAAUUACCCACCAGACACAAGCAUAUAGGUCGAUCAAUUAACUGAAGAGAUGACAGUCCACAAUUUUACUGUUUCAGCAAUGUAUGGUGAUAUAAAACAACGAGAUCGUGAAUUGAUUAUGAAACAAUUUCGUUCUGACACGUCUCGUAUAUUGAUUACAACCACCUCCAUCAGUAGACAAAGAUCCUACCAGUGCGAAGACAAAAGUAAGGCAAAAUGUGUGAUGUUGCUUAAAAGCACAGCAAGAACUUUCAAAAAAUUUUUAUCAGCAGAAUUUGUCAAAUGAAGAAUGGUGCUUUAUAUACCAACCCAACUAGAGCUGGGCGCUUGAUUCACAAGCGCAAUAGAAAAUAAGUAAAAUCUUACUUCCCUUAUUCAAAUGCUAUUUAUCCAACAAUGCCAAAAGCAACAAAGAAACACAAUUUUGCCGACAAUCCCAUGGCAGCCGGUUGUACGUACCGGAUUGACCCGAUGAAGUCCUCCAUCGGCAAGGGCUGACGCUUCAGUGUACAAGACACUGCUACAUCAACAAUAAUUUUACCGAACUUACCGAACUUCUGCACUGAGGUCGCGGACAAUCAAAAGUAUCUAGUGGAGUGUCUCAGUGAGAGCCCGGGUGGCACCAGCUCUUGCUUAAAAACUGAGUACCUAUGAUGCUCGAUACCACAAGGCGAGUUUUGGUGCCUUUAAAUAAUUAAUCGCCAUCAUAUUCCCGCGGCAAUCGGUCAUAUAGACCGGAACGAGUAUGCUGCCCUAUAAGACUUGACGAGAAUUGCAAAUCUGUCUACAACAGCAACAGUAGCUUGCAGAGCACAUAACUGAAUUUGAGCAGGGCUUUUAAAGACGACUUGAUUCACAAGCGCAAUAGAAAACAAGUACAGUCUUAAAGGAAGAACUUACCCUUGAAAGUAUUAAACAAUUUUAUAUAACGUCAAGCAAGAAAAUUGGAAACCUGUCGCACUGUGUGAUUUGUACGACACACUUCCAAUUGAUUUUCUGCAACACCAGACGCAUGCUUAUAGGUCGAUCAACUAAUUGAAGAGAUGAAAGCCCAUAAUUGUACUGUUUCGGCAAUGCAUGAUGAUAUGAAACAACGAGAUCGUGAAU